UACGUAGGCUACGAGCAUUAUCCGGAAUUACUGGGCGUAAAGAGAUGCGUAGGCGUCUGAAUUAGUCUUUAGUUAAAGGCAUGGGCUUAACUCAUGUAGUGCUAAGGAUACGGUUCAGAUUGAGGGAGAUAGAGGGAGAAGGAACUUCUGGUGGAGUGGUGAAAUGCGUUGAUAUCAGAAGGAACACCAAUGGCGAAGGCAAUCUCCUGGGUCUUUCCUGACGCUAAGGCUCGAAAGCGUGGGGAGCGAAACGG
rnacentral:rRNA from 1 species